GACGAACGCUGGCGGCGUGCCUAACACAUGCAAGUCGAACGGGACUUAGUGGAAUGCGGCUUCGGCCAAGUGAAGUUAAGUUUAGUGGCGGACGGGUGAGUAACGCGUGAGGAACCUGCCUUCCAGUGGGGGACAACAGUUGGAAACGACUGCUAAUACCGCAUAAUGUACACGGACCGCAUGAUCUGUGUACCAAAGCUUUAUGUGCUGGAAGAUGGCCUCGCGUCUGAUUAGCUAGUUGGUGAGGUAACGGCCCACCAAGGCGACGAUCAGUAGCCGGUCUGAGAGGAUGAACGGCCACAUUGGGACUGAGAUACGGCCCAGACUCCUACGGGAGGCAGCAGUGGGGAAUAUUGGGCAAUGGGGGAAACCCUGACCCGGCAACGCCGCGUGAAGGAAGAAGGCCUUCGGGUUGUAAACUUCUUUUACCAGGGACGAAGAACGUGACGGUACCUGGAGAAAAAGCAACGGCUAACUACGUG
rnacentral:rRNA from 1 species